CUGGUGUGUCACCAUACUCAAACCCCUCCCAGGACCAGCCCUUUGCCAACUUGCUCUGCUGUGUUUGAGGGGAAGCCGUGUGAGGACACUGAGGGCACUUGUGUGACCUCUGCUUUCCCUGCAGUUUUAUCCAGGAGAUCUCACUUCACAGCGCUGGUGACAUCUGAAGUGCUCAGCAACAUAUGGAAAUUAAGAACAAUCCUGAAUUGCAACAUUUUCUACCUUUCACUCCCCCAAGGCUGCUGGAAGCCACAUUGCUCAUUGUUUCAGCUGUGUGCAAGUGUUAGAAUUCAAACUGCUAAUCAAAAGCAAUCGUUAAAGACAGAGAUGGAUUAAAACUAGUUUAAUAAAUAA